AUUGAACGCUGGCGGCAUGCCUUACACAUGCAAGUCGAACGGUAACAGGUCUUCGGAUGCUGACGAGUGGCGAACGGGUGAGUAAUACAUCGGAACGUGCCUAGUAGUGGGGGAUAACUACUCGAAAGAGUGGCUAAUACCGCAUGAGAUCUACGGAUGAAAGCAGGGGAUCGCAAGACCUUGUGCUACUAGAGCGGCCGAUGGCAGAUUAGGUAGUUGGUGGGAUAAAAGCUUACCAAGCCGACGAUCUGUAGCUGGUCUGAGAGGACGAUCAGCCACACUGGGACUGAGACACGGCCCAGACUCCUACGGGAGGCAGCAGUGGGGAAUUUUGGACAAUGGGCGCAAGCCUGAUCCAGCAAUGCCGCGUGCAGGAUGAAGGCCUUCGGGUUGUAAACUGCUUUUGUACGGAACGAAAAGCCCUGGGUUAAUACCCUGGGGUCAUGACGGUACCGUAAGAAUAAGCACCGGCUAACUACGUGCCAGCAGCCGCGGUAA
rnacentral:rRNA from 1 species